rnacentral:lncRNA from 1 species
AUCUAGUCUCUUAAUUUUAUCAUAUUUUUUCAUAUUUUGACACCUCACUUUACAUGUCUCUAUAAUUAUAUUUUUGAAUUAUAUUAUAGUAUAAUUAAAAAGCUACAAACACAUUAAGGCUUCAUUGACAUACAUUAACAGGUUCAUUUUUCUUCCACACAGGAUCAUAUUCAUUUUCCUUUUCUUCCUCAGAUACGCUUCAUCCAUAUGCCUCCAUAAUCCAUAUUGAUCUUUCUCCCACCGUCAUUCAUCAACUCACCAUAUUCAUCCCCUCCACUACCAUUUCAAAAUUUCCAACAACCAAAAUACUAGAACACAACUCCUUUCAUCCAAAACCACUGCCAGUAUCAUUAAUUAACACCUCCAUUCAUUCCCUUCGUCCCCUCCAUUAUCAACCACACUUUUAUCCAUCAUCAACCCACCAUCUCCAUUACUCAAGGCUCUAUUCACAUAACAAAAAAACACACUUUUUACUCUCCAUCCCAACGCAAGAAAGAGGACCAAAAAAGUCCUCACUUCCAUUAUCCAUGCCAAUCAAAACCUUCACUUGUUAAGAAGUAGACUUUAAACCUAACUCAAUCCUACCAACCUAACUUAUAAGGUGAGGUUUGUAUCCAC